rnacentral:rRNA from 1 species
GAUGAACGCUGGCGGCGUGCCUAAUACAUGCAAGUCGAGCGAACAGACGAGGAGCUUGCUCCUUCGACUUUAGCGGCGGACGGUUGAGUAACACGUAGGUAACCUACCUAUAAGACUGGGAUAACUUCGGGAAACCUGAGCUAAUACCGGAUAAUAUUUCGAACCGCAUGGUUCGAUAGUGAAAGAUGGUUUUGCUAUCACUUAUAGAUGGACCUCCGCCGUAUUAGCUAUUUGGUAAGGUAACGGCUUACCAAGGCAACGAUACCUAGCCGACCUCAGAUGAUCAUCGCCCCCACCAGCACUGACAGACGGUCCAGACUCCUACCGGAGCCAGCACUAGCGAUUUGCCCGCAAUAUGCGAAAGACUGACGGAGCAAUGCCGCGUGAUUCAGGCAGUGCCUCGGAUCGUAGAACUCUGUGAUUACGGAAGAACAAACGUGUAAGUAACUGUGCACGCCUUGACGGUACCUAAUCAGAAAGGCACGGCUAACUCCGUG